rnacentral:rRNA from 1 species
AUUGAACGCUGGCGGCAGGCCUAACCCAUGCAAGUCGAGCGAGCGGCGGACGGGUGAGUAAUGUCUGGGAAACUGCCUGAUGGAUGGGGAUAACUACUGGAAACGGUAGCUAAUACCGCAUACCAUCAGAUGUGCCCAGAUGGGAUUAGCUAGUAGGUGGGUUAAUGGCUCACCUAGGCGACGAUACCUAGCUGGUUUGAGAGGAUGACCAGCCACACUGGAACUGAGACACGGUCCAGACUCCUACGGGAGGCAGCAGUGGAGAAUAUUGCAAAAUGGGCGGAAGCCUAGUGCAGCCAUGCCGCGUGUGUGAAGAAGGCCUUCGGGUUGUAAAGCACUUUCAGCGGGGAGGCUUUACCCGCAGAAGAAGCACCGGCUAACUCCGUGCCAGCAGCCGCGGUAAUAC